rnacentral:rRNA from 1 species
AAACGAAGCUUUCUUUCACCGAAUGCUUGCAUUCACCGAAAGAAGCUUAGUGGCGAACGGAUGAGUAACACGUAGGCAACCUGCCCAAAAGAGGGGGAUAACACUUGGAAACAGGUGCUAAUACCGCAUAACCAUGAACACCGCAUGAUGUUCGUGUAAAAGACGGCUUUUGCUGUCACUUUUGGAUGGGCCUGCGGCGUAUUAGCUUGUUGGUGGGGUAACGGCCUACCAAGGUGAUGAUACGUAGCCGAACUGAGAGGUCGAUCGGCCACAUUGGGACUGAGACACGGCCCAAACUCCUACGGGAGGCAGCAGUAGGGAAUCUUCCACAAUGGACGAAAGUCUGAUGGAGCAACGCCGCGUGAAUGAAGAAGGCCUUCGGGUUGUAAAAUUCUGUUGUCAGAGAAGAAUGUGCGUGAGAGUAACUGUUCACGUAUUGACGGUAUCUGACCAGAAAGCCACGGCUAACUACGUGCCAGCAGCCGCGGUAAUACGUAGGUGGCAAGCGUUGUCCGGAUUUAUUGGGCGUAAAGGGAACGCAGGCGGUCUUUUAAGUCUGAUGUGAAAGCCUUCGGCUUAACCGAAGUAGUGCAUUGGAAACUGGAAGACUUGAGUGCGGAAGAGAAGAGUGGAACUCCAUGUGUAGCGGUGAAAUGCGUAGAUAUAUGGAAGAACACCAGUGGCGAAAGCGGCUCUCUGGUCUGUAACUGACGCUGAGGUUCGAAAGCGUGGGUAGCAAACAGGAUUAGAUACCCUGGUAGUCCACGCCGUAAACGAUGAGUGCUAAGUGUUGGAGGGUUUCCGCCCUUCAGUGCUGCAGCUAACGCAUUAAGCACUCCGCCUGGGGAGUACGGUCGCAAGACUGAAACUCAAAGGAAUUGACGGGGGCCCGCACAAGCGGUGGAGCAUGUGGUUUAAUUCGAAGCAACGCGAAGAACCUUACCAGGUCUUGACAUCUUCUGACAAUUCCAGAGAUGGAACGUUCCCUUCGGGGACAGAAUGACAGGUGGUGCAUGGUUGUCGUCAGCUCGUGUCGUGAGAUGUUGGGUUAAGUCCCGCAACGAGCGCAACCCUUAUUGUCAGUUGCCAUCAUUAAGUUGGGCACUCUGGCGAGACUGCCGGUGACAAACCGGAGGAAGGUGGGGAUGACGUCAAAUCAUCAUGCCCCUUAUGACCUGGGCUACACACGUGCUACAAUGGACGGUACAACGAGUCGCUAACUCGCGAGGGCAAGCUAAUCUCUUAAAGCCGUUCUCAGUUCGGAUUGGAGGCUGCGACUCGCCUGCAUGAAGUCGGAAUCGCUAGUAAUCGCGAAUCAGCAUGUCGCGGUGAAUACGUUCCCGGGCCUUGUACACACCGCCCGUCACACCAUGAGAGUUUGUAACACCCAAAGUCGGUGGGGUAACCUUUUGGAGCCAGCCGCCUAAGGUGGGACAGAUGAUUGGGGUGAAGUCGUAACAAGGUA